UCCAUCUACCGUUCAACAUCACUUUAUUCUGCUGCGCAAAUAUCCUGCGCUUCGAUCGCCCGGCGAUGGAAACGUUGGACUUUGUAGGUGCGUUCGCGCAAAGUUUCCAGUGCGCUAGCGCAGAAAGAAGCAAUGCACCCAGUGGAAGUGGCAGUGACAGUGAGCAUCAGUGCGCCCAGUGAAAGUGUGAUGCGCAUGUGACUAACAAAUCGGCAAACCCAUCUCGUCCAAAAACAGUGCAAAAAUCAGAGAAGCAAAAUUUGUACCAGCAUAUAAUGUCCGCAAAACAAAAGAAGCAAAACAGCAUACCAUGCAGCUAAAUCCGUAUCAAAAAUCGGUCCUUAUUUUUGUGAAACCCAGUUUGGCAAUAGUAAAUUCUGUUCUGAAGCUACAUCUACUAAAAUGGUGUGAAUAAAGUGACGUUGAACCGACUUUGCAAUGGAAAACAAGAUAGAAGGAGUUGAACGAACUCACCAACCCGACAUUCAUAGCCGAAGCAUCAUGUUUGGAAUCAUUCAUACCCGAAUAAGCACAUAUUUGAAGAACUUGAACAAGACAAAUCAAUAUAACAUGGGCAUCGUUAAGAGAAGAUACAAAACAAACAAGUCAUCCCGUGCGAAAAUAAUACAUGUCAAAUGUUUAACGCUUAAAAAACACGAAAAAGAUACAGUUUUCCGAUCGACCGACCAGCAAAGGCAUUGGCAAUAGAGUGAAACAUACAAGAUCACACAUGAAAACUCAUUCCAGAAGAAUCUCAAGUUAGCCGAACGUAACAUUUCAGAUGAGCAACAAAACCAUAAGAAAAAACCAUAAGAAAAAGAACGGAAGAGAAAAAGAAACACAAAAAGAAACGCCCGAAUAAUCAAACUCGUUCAAAUCACCCAAAAGAAUGUUCAAACAGAAUGUUCAUUGAACACAAGUCACAGUUAUGGAGGAAAAAGGCGAGAAGCUCACCCCUGGCCUUUGAAAGAGAAGAAGAAAGCAUUCAAUGAAUAAAAUAUUGAUACGCCAUCUUGUCCAUCUUCACAGCGACGACAGUCGAGAUGCCAUGCUCGACCACACCACAGCGAAGCGUCUUUCGGUGUAGAUUAAAUACCAAGACGCAGCACCGGCAUAUGGACAUGCAGCACGUGUUACCUACGCAGCACGCCUGCUCACGCACCAAAUCUAUCGAAACAAGAAGAAAACAAAGAAAUCCAAAAUCACUCGCACAUACACCCAUACAAUCGGAAAACGGAGAAAAACAAUAUACAAAACGCAACCCUGCAAAAAGAAAUCGUACACAAUCUUAAGCUGCCGCGUUCCGUUCCAAAAACACCAAACCUCUCCAUGAGGAGAAGAAGCACCAUCGUUCGGCUGGGGAAAACCCUAUUUCCCCUAUUUUCUUCGGCACGCAGUAACAGCAUACACUACUACCAAUACUACGACAAUUUCCGGGCAGAACAGUUCGUCUGGCUUCGAACGUGGCAGCGCAAACGGUAGCGGAGGAGAAAAUUCUAAAACCAAACGGGGAAAAUGUUCCGAGCGUUUUCCCCGUCCAACAGUCUAACAUAAUACCAGCAGCAGCAGCGCCAUCGUGUAAGCAGCAUUUCGGGAAAUAGACAGCUGGCACAUCGCGAACCAUCUGACAGCAUCGUGGCAGGCGUGUGUUUGCAGCAAGACAGCAGGGUGACACCAACGUGGGACAGCAACGACGAAGACGACGGCCGAGCGAAAGCUUCCAAGCGCCAGAGGGAAGCUUGCAGAGAAGUAUAACCACACAUAUUAUUGUUUUCGUUUUUCGUGCAAGGCAUUGUCCCGCAACAGGGCGACAGCUGCUUCUAUUUGGCAUUCCUGUUUGGGUUUCCACAAGGCAUUUUUUAAAUAAGUAUUUUUUUAUUUGUUUUAUUUCAUUUCUGAUGAACGUGUUUUGUUUAUUUUUCACAUCACUCGAUUAAAGCGUUUAUUUUUUCACUGAAGAACUACAUUCUGAUAGCAACAGAGCACAGAAAACAAAACAACGCCUCCAAAUUAAAUAGUACCCCGUUUAUGAAAGCAAACGAAACAAUGUGAUAAACAAAAGAUAAAAGCAAAACUGAUAUUACAAAAGUCUAUAAAACAACUCAAAAAUCAACCAUAAAGAAACUAUAACAAAAUCCAAAAUCCCAAAAUCUACAAUCACACAACACGAAAAACAUUCCACAAUCACCUCUUAUCACUCAAACGUAUGCAUCGCUCCAAUUUUAUUUCAUAGUUUUUAAAUAACACCUACGUUAAGUCACUUUAGCACACAUAUAAAUUGUCAAAAACUGAAGCAUUCCACCAGCAUGCCAAAACAGUAAAAAAAAUUGUAGGCCAAGCCGUUUUUCAACGUACUGAGUCUCAAAAACAACGCAGUAAUAGAAUUGGUAAUAGCUGACCGGGCUUGUUUUAAUGAAGCUUCUGUUUUCAAUCACGACACAGAAUUGAUAGCAUUAUAACACUUAGUUUACCGCUGCAAACGUUUACAAUCUUCCCAAUGAAAACGAUAACAGAAAUAUUUCACUCAGGUUUUAGUUAUUAAUACAACUUGUUGCCGAUAAAGGCGAUAUCCAAUUGAACUACAAUAAUAUAGUCGCCAACGGUGCGAUUUAUCGAUCCAUCUAUCUGUUUCUCUCACUCAAGAGAUUCAACACAACCACAAACACUGAUCUACUUAACAACUCAACAUUGCACCCAAUCGCCAGAAACAAGAAACAAUAGCAAUAAACAAAAACUGGAAUGUUUUGUUUCGAGUAACGUGUAACUCAGUUCUAAACGAUUGUACUUUUACACACAAAUCAAUGACAAACCUCCUCCUCCAUCCCCGAAAUGCCUCUCGUAAAUUCAACUAGUUAAAUGAUUUAAUCGCCAGCAAAACCAGCCCUCCUUUCCCCAGGUGAAGCUCGAAAUCCAAUUGUUAUUUGAUGAAGAAGAAAGGAACAGAACCAUAUAAAGCCAAGCUGAAGAAACCUCAUAUGUGAUAAUUAUACUUAUUCGUGGCCAAAUCAUGAAAACAUGUGAAAAACAAAUAGUAAAAUAUUUUAAAAAGCAAACAUUUUGUUAUAGUCAUGAAACAUGAAAACAAAAGUUAAGGAAAAAACAGAGAAAAUCUCACACAAUGAUAGCCAAAACGAAUUGCAGGUUGAGCCUGUAUUUAGUGAAUAUCAAAUUAAAUCAAUUAGCUGCACCAAAAAGAAGAAAAGAAAAGCAACACUAAACCUUACAAAAACAGAAGAAAAUUAAAAGAUGAAAUAAUUCUUUGUUUGACUGUGAUGAAAUAUAAAUUUGUUCUAAACAAUCGCUAUCAAUUAAGUUGAUAAUAGACAAGCAAAAUGGCAAUAAUGUGAUGUUGGAACAAUGUUGAUUUGUUUAUCCAAAAGUAACACAUACAACAACAAAAAUCAACCUGCCAAGUUCAGUUCGGGUAUGGCAGAAAGCGCUUACCCUCGCACAAACAUUUAGCUGAAGAAUUGUUAAUAUUUGAUCGAAUUUAUUUCAUUGUUGAAAAGUACCGAUUUAUAAACAACCAACUGGACUGAGUUUAUUUUUGUAAAGUGAUACAAAUGAGGCUCCAAUUUGUUAAACAGUAUCGCAAUUGAAAUUGAAUGUUAGAAUCAUCAUGCACAAAACGUUGCUGGUUUGUUGGGGGAAAAUUUUCGUGGAAAAAUGAAUUCUUUCUUACAAACGCAAGGCACAAAACCAAAUGUGAUACGAACAAAAAAUCAAACGAUGAAGAACAAACAAAAUCUCAAACACAAACUUAUUACGGAAAGGGGCAUCGAAACCAAAACCGAAACUGUUGGCAACCAUCAGCGCACGAUUUGGCAUGUAGCAUAUUCGAGCAAAUGGGCGAUGUACAAUUUUCUGCAAAGCUAAAUUAAAUAGCAAAAACAUAAGCAAACAUUCACUUACGAUUAAGUUCAUGCAUACUUGAGUCGCGAAAGAAGGCAUCCAGUUUUUGUAACGAUCCUAUUUAGUUUCUUGAUUUUGUUUCUGAUUACUUACUCUAGUUUAUAGCAAAUGCUGCCCGCACGGUGAAGGAACAGUGUAUCGCAAGAGGAGGCAUGUUGUUUGUGCUCGGUUGAGCCACCAAAUCAACAUACCAUCUAUUCCGCAAUCCACUGUGCGGACAGUCGCAACAGGUCACACAGAACAGAGCGAGAUUACUCCCUUGCGGGAGGAAGUAGGCAACGAUUAGUCGAAGUAACAAACGAUACUAAAAUAGUUUCUUUUUUAAUCUUUCUUUUUCUAGACAGGGUCAUUGAAAAUGGGACAAAAAGGGGGCACGCGUGUUAAAGCUUUCUGGCGAUCAGUCACGAACACGUCUCGCUACUCGCUAGAAACUCGAACCUCGGAAGGAAUUAGCCUGACAAAAACGUUAACAAAAAUCACAAAAGCAAGUACUGAAAAUUCUUCCCUUUUUGCGUCACUAGUUACAGCUGUUUAAAACCAAACACUAAUUAUUCAAAACUGAUACUUAAGAUCAAGACUAUCUGAAAUCAUAACCCUUGACAUUCAAAUCAAAAAGCCCAUAGCUAAAAUUGUGCGUAUCAAGAGACUAGAACCAUCCAUCGUUCACACGCGCACAGGAUUCUUAUAUAUUAUUUUUUUACAUUACCAUUAUGCACACUGAAAAACGCCACUCGCAAAACUAGCGUCGCCGAAUCGGCGUGCAAUGCGGCGGGCUAGAAUGGACAGUGUUUUUCCACAGGCCAGCUAACGCUGUACAACAGGGGGUUGCGGACGAUUCUAUCCGGUUAGUCAGAGGAAGGAUUGUACGACCGCACUGUGUGCAGCUGCCCCUUCGCAGCUGCAGACGUGGAAAGGGAUAAAAAUUCAUUUUCCAUUCCCACUCCCCUUUUAGCAGGACACGUCGGCCGGAGACGCUAAGGAAAAUUGGUUUUCUUUUGCUAAAAUGAAACUCGAACCCAACGAAGAACUGUAAAAAAUGCGCUGUAAAAUUCCUAAAGCAACCACCGAUAAUAAUCUAAAUUAUUAAUAAAAACCACAAAACAACCCUACCACCCCGACUAGCGCUUAGUGGGCCACAAAAUUUGCAAUCAUUUUUCGGCCAUGAUCGAAGCGUGGUGUCUAUAAAAUAUUAACAUGAAUCACACAAACGCACACGAACAAGCAGCAAUGAAUUUAUUCGGAAUUUGGUCUAUCGUGAUGAUAGCUUGGGGGACUCGUAUUUCGAGGCACAUGCAAUGUUCGGAUAAUUUGGCAAAACGGAUUUUUGGGGGCAAACGGCAAACGAACGCACUCGGCUGAGGAUUUUUCCCAAAUUCUCUUUGAUGCUUAACUCUAACUACUCUGGACAAGAAAAGCCCGCAUCGCGCUAAACUUCUCGAUGGGAUUUUAUUAAAGAUACUGCCCUUUUCCGGGUGCAUAUGAUUGGUAGGAAAUCUUGCAGACACUUCCCUCAAUCGUUCUGGUUUAUAAUCACCGCUUCCCUUUUUAGAGAAUCCGUUUUACGCUUCAUUGAGAAUGAAUACCUUCUUGGACGGAAGUUCAGACGAAUUUGGAAGCCAUUUCUGGAAUGAAAAGGUCGGCUCAAAUCUGAAACCAAUUAGUUUAUCACCAGUUUAGAUGAAUAACCAGGAAUUUAACAAAACAAAACAAAAA